GACGAACGCUGGCGGCGUGCUUAACACAUGCAAGUCGAACGAUGAAGCUGGAGCUUGCUCCGGUGGAUUAGUGGCGAACGGGUGAGUAACACGUGAGCAAUCUGCCCUUCACUCUGGGAUAACUGCGGGAAACUGUAGCUAAUACCGGAUAUGACUCCUGGGGGCAUCCCUGGGAGUGGAAAGAAUUUCGGUGAAGGAUGAGCUCGCGGCCUAUCAGCUAGUUGGUGAGGUAAUGGCUCACCAAGGCGACGACGGGUAGCCGGCCUGAGAGGGUGACCGGCCACACUGGAACUGAGACACGGUCCAGACUCCUACGGGAGGCAGCAGUGGGGAAUAUUGCACAAUGGGCGAAAGCCUGAUGCAGCAACGCCGCGUGAGGGAUGAAGGCCUUCGGGUUGUAAACCUCUUUUAGCAGGGAAGAAGGGUAACUGACGGUACCUGCAGAAAAAGCACCGGCUAACUACGUG
rnacentral:rRNA from 1 species